AGCUCCUCCUUUAAUUUUUUUAUUGCACCAAACAAAACACUAGAUUUAAGAGCUAUUCAAAUAAGGCACAGCUUAUUUGAAAUGGGGUACAACCCCUAAUACUGGGUUAAUCUAGAUAUAUUAAAUAAAGUGGGCCUAAAAGCAGCCAUCUUCUAAAAAGCGUUAAAGCUUAACAUAUUACUAUCUACAAUUCCACAAUUUUUACUUAACCCUUUAUCACUACUGAACUAUUUUAUACCCCUAUAAAAGUCAUUAUGCUAGAACUAGUAACAAGAAAUUGCCCUUCUCCAAAAUGUAUGUUUAAACCAAAAUGGACCCUCCACUGGUAGUUAACGUAAAUGUAAUAAUCAUAGUACCAUACAACUAGAAAACCCUAUGACUCCCCAACGUCAACCUUACACUAGAACAUUACAGGAAAGAUUAAAAGAGAAAGAAGGAACUCGGCAAACCACAGUCCCGCCUGUUUACCAAAAACACCGCCUCUUGCCCAAAUAUAAGAGGUCCAGCCUGCCCAGUGACAUAGUUUAACGGCCGCGGUACCCUAACCGUGCGAAGGUAGCAUAAUCACUUGUUCUUUAAAUAAGGACUCGUAUCAACGGCAUCACGAGGGCUGUACUGUCUCCUUUCUCCAAUCAGUGAAACUGAUCUCCCCGUGAAGAAGCGGGGAUUGACCUAUAAGACGAGAAGACCCCAUGGAGCUUUAAACCCAACACACACCUCUACGCACCCAAACCAAUAUAGCCCAAGAGACUUGUGUGUUGGUUUUAGGUUGGGGGGACCGCGGAGUAAAAUCAAACCUCCAUGACAGACGGGCUAACACCCUUAUCCAUGAACCACAAUUCUAAGAGCCAAUAAAUUGUUGUCUAAUGACCCAAUUACUUGAUCAACGAACCAAGUUACCCUGGGGAUAACAGCGCAAUCUACUUCAAGAGCUCCUAUCGACAAGUAGGUUUACGACCUCGAUGUUGGAUCAGGGUAUCCUAGUGGUGCAGCCGCUACUAAAGGUUCGUUUGUUCAACGAUUAAAACCCUACGUGAUCUG
rnacentral:rRNA from 1 species